rnacentral:rRNA from 1 species
UACGGAGGGAGCUAGCGUUGUUCGGAAUUACUGGGCGCAAAGCGCACGUAGGCGGCUUUGUAAGUUAGAGGUGAUAGCCUGGAGCUCAACUCCAGAAUUGCCUUUAAGACUGCAUCGCUUGAAUUCCAGCGCAGAGGUGAGUGGAAUUCCGAGUGUAGAGGUGAAAUUCGUAG